UCUCCUACAUUUGUCCAAAUUGGUUUAAAACUGCGCUCGUUUUCAUUUUUCCUCAUUGUUGCGAUUGUCAGGAGAUACCAACAGUCCACGUUCACUGAAGAUCCAAAGAUGCAGAUGACUCUAGUUUUAGGCUGCCUCGCACUGGUCAUCUCGAUGGGGGUUCAACGGGCAUGUGGUGCCUUCAGAUCUGGAAGCGCGUAUAGGCAAAACUGGGGCUUCAAAGGUCAGGUGGGAACGUCGGUAGUGACCUCUUCAAGCAGCGACCAGGCUUGCUGUCCGGUAUGCUACUUCCCCUUCUGAUCUAGAUCGAAGUUCAUCAAUUCCUAUACCUGUCAGAGACAUGGUGCUCCAACUCUCACAGGAUCCCGAACUUGCACUGUACUUGAUCAGAGAGUUUGUGGAUCUGAACGGUGACGGAUUCAUAAGCGAAGCGGAAUUCUUAAGAAGGAUGAAGAAGUAAACCGUCCCAGAGAUGCCUUACACGAUUGGCCGUUUCACAUACGAAGCACAGAAGUACUUACUAUAGCUGCAUGUUUGGAUGAAUGAACCCUUUCAGACACAUUAGUUUCAACUGAGAUCCAUUAAAACUGAACGUGUGUUUGUGUAUCAAUGACAGGUACUUGUGCUUCGAGUAACUGUGAUUUUACUUACUCCGUCUAUUAUUAUGAUGUUAGCAUAUACACCACAGUAAGUGUAAACACAUUUAGAAAGCUGGACAGCUACACCAUCAAGUGGGAUUAUGAGUCAUAUCAGCAAUUUGUCACACAUACCUGUAUGGAAUUGUUGCUGUGACAACGGUAUUCAGGUAAUGACAUACCAUUGCACCACAAGAAUGCCUUAGAUGAUCACCUAUUGUCAUCAAUAUAUUUAUGUAUACUAUAUGUUAGUUCUAAUUAAAAUGUUUUGUUUUCCUUUUUGAAGAAAUUUAAUAAACCAUAUACAGCCAAA